rnacentral:rRNA from 1 species
AUGGCAAAUGCUGAAAGAGCGACUGCUCCGAGACCUGCUAGCCAACAUAGGCCAACGAGAUGGCGGCCACCUGAUGACGAGGAGUGUGUGAAGAUAACUGUGGACGGCGCGAUCUCUCGCCGAGGAACCACAGGGGCGGUAGCGGCAGUGUGUAGGGACGGUUUUGGAAAUUAUUUGGGAGCUUCGGCAAUUGUUCUUGACGGACUAGUUGAUGCUCCAAGCCUUGAAGCCCAUGCAUGUAAUGAAGCUCUUGUUCUGGCCAUGGAUCUCAAUGUUUCACAUGCGAUAAUAGGCUCUGAUUGCAUGCAAGUUGUCACAGACAUCAAGAGAGGUGCCAAUGCCUCUUAUGCUUUUUUGCUUAGUGAGAUCAAUGAGAGGAUGAAAGAUUUUGUAAAGAUUAGCUUCUAUUUUGAGAGAAGAGAGUCGAACUUUGAGGCGCAUGCUUUGGCUAAGGCAGCGUCGUCGCUCCCGGCGGGUCGCCACAUGUGGCUAGGGAUCCUACCAGACAUUAUUUGUAUUCCUUCUGUUUUGGACUUUGAAUAA